GGGGGGCCAUGGAGGGGAGCAUGAUGGCGGGAACCUCACCUUCCAGGAGCGAGAGCAGAGCGCAGAGGAAUCCCAGCCUCAUGACCUCUGGGGUGCCUGGAUCUCCAAGCCUCUGCUCUGUGUCCCUGCUUCUUUAUGUGUGCAGCGGUGAGCACCCAACUCCUGUCCACCAGGACGCCGGCGCAGUGGAACGAGAGGCCAUUGAAGAGGGACACCUGCCAGGGCUGCGAGCCGUGAGCGCACGGGGCGCCGGAGGCCACGACGCGGGAGCUUGUGUCGUUUGCGGGGAGCAGCAGAGCCUCCGAGACUGGAGAAAGAAAGCAGGAGACCGAAGAGGCUGAUUCUGGAGGAGUGAGGAGUGAACCGAGUACAGGACAAGAGGGCGUAGGAGUUCAGUCCCUGGAGGGAACUAGAUUCCACAGCCUUCAACUAAGAGUUCGCCAGCAGCGACUGAAGAUCCCACACGCCAAAGCUAAAAAGAUGCCCCAACUAAAAGUUGCAGCUGUGUGCUGCAACUAAGACCCGGCGCAGCCAAAUAAAUAAAUACAUAUUAAAAAAAAAAAAGACUUGGGAUUAAAAUAGGGCGGAGUAAGAAGGGGCGGGGAGGGGAAAGGCGAGGACAAAGUGGCGGGUGUACUGAUCCUAGCGGAGUGAAAAGCGUUGGGAUAGCUAGGGCGGAGUUAGAAGAGGGGCGGGUCUAAUUUGGGGCCGGGCCUUUCCGGACCGGUGAGUGAGUGCUGGGGGUCCCAAGGGGAGGAGAAGUGCGCAACAGGUUUGGUUUUAACAGCCCACUCUCCCAUCGCCUCCCCGCCACCCGCCCGCUGCUCACCCCAUUCCCCGGCGGC